UAAGGAGACUGCCGGUGACAAACCGGAGGAAGGUGGGGAUGACGUCAAGUCCUCAUGGCCCUUAUGGGUAGGGCUUCACACGUCAUACAAUGGUCGGAACAGAGGGUCGCCAACCCGCGAGGGGGAGCCAAUCCCAGAAAACCGAUCGUAGUCCGGAUUGCACUCUGCAACUCGAGUGCAUGAAGCUGGAAUCGCUAGUAAUCGCGGAUCAGCAUGCCGCGGUGAAUACGUUCCCGGGUCUUGUACACACCGCCCGUCACACCAUGGGAGUGGGUUUUACCAGAAGUGGCUAGUCUAACCGCAAGGAGGACGGUCACCACGGUAGGAUUCAUGACUGGGGUGAAGUCGUAACAAGGUAGCCGUAUCGGAAGGUGCGGCUGGAUCACCUCCUUUCUCG
rnacentral:rRNA from 1 species